rnacentral:lncRNA from 1 species
UGCAUUGCGAUACUAUCUGUAUUGCUAUACGCAUUUUUUGUAUGUGCCAAAAGGCAAGCAGAGACACAAAAAACCUCAAGGGCUUAAACUAACAAUGAGACAUAAAACCAUCAAUAAGCAGCUGAAGAGCUAUCAGUGUGCUUGUUUAAGAAAACUUUUUAGCCUCAACAAAGCCCCGCUUGUGUCGUGGUAACAGCUAGCAGUGGAAACGUGCGGUAUUGGUUGCUGUACAAACAUAUUACAAGACGCUCGUGUGAAUCUCCAGUCUAAACAGGCGAUAUAAGGUUUGAUAGGAAGACAAGCACUGAGCUCGGGUUAUCGCAUUAUAUCAGGCUGUUAUGGUGCCAUCUUCCAGCCUGAAGUGCAUGAACUGCCCUUGCUUACUUGGCGCAUCCCCAGUGAUGGGCAGCAAAGCCCAUCAGGGCUGGGGACGAAGGACUGUCCCGUGAGGCACCGGUCUGGCCUUGGGGAGAGAGAAAGGGCUUGCUUUCCUGGAAUACUUCUUUGACAUGACUGCAGGGGGUUCAAAGGAGGGCCAUGAAGAUGAUGAAAGGGCUGUAGUACCUGGCCUGUUAGAAAAAGACUGAAGGAGUUGGGUCAUUCCACUCUGGAGAAGAGAAGGCUCAGGGUGGGGACCUCACCAUAAUAUUCUAGCACUUAAAGGGUGGCUACAAAGAGGAUAGAAGCUCUCCCUUCACAAGGACCCACAUGGAGAAGACAAGGGGCAACGAACACAAGUUGCACUGGAACAGAUCUUGUCUUGAUAUAAGAAAUUUUCUAUAGUGAGACCAACAGGAACAACCUCCACAGGGAUGUGGCAGGACCCCCGUCACUGGAUGUUUUCAAGAUGUGGUUGGGCUGGGUGCUAGAUAAGCUCACCUACUCUCCCUUUCCCACAAAAGGCAAGACCUGAUGAUCUUUCAAGGGCCCUUCCAAACUGGGCUCUUCAAUGAUUCCGUGACAAGGGGGGAUUCACCCCUGGCUCACUGCAUCCAUGACGUUUGAUAUUUUCCAGUGCUCCUUCAUACUUCCGUUCUUAGGGGUGAUGGCGAAGCCC